UACGGAGGAUGCGAGCGUUAUCCGGAAUCACUGGGUUUAAAGGGUGCGUAGGCGGGAAAAUAAGUCAGAGGUGAAAUCUGGUCGCUUAACGAUCAAAUUGCCUUUGAAACUGUUUUUCUUGAAAUAUGAUGAGGUUGGCAGAAUGUGACAUGUAGCGGUGAAAUGCAUAGAUAUGUCAUAGAAUACCAAUUGCGAAGGCAGCUGACUGGUCAUUAUUUGACGCUGAGGCACGAAAGCGUGGGGAGCGAACAGG
rnacentral:rRNA from 1 species